UGCGUAGGCGGUUUGUUAAGUCUGUUGUGAAAUCCCCGGGCUCAACCUGGGAAUGGCAAUGGAAACUGGCAAGCUAGAGUGUGUCAGAGGAUGGUGGAAUUCCCGGUGUAGCGGUGAAAUGCGUAGAGAUCGGGAGGAACAUCAGUGGCGAAGGCGGCCAUCUGGGACAACACUGACGCUGAAGCACGAAAGCGUGGGGAGCAAACA
rnacentral:rRNA from 1 species